UGCGCUGGUUUGUGUGUGGGCAUUGGCGGUUUCUGGAUCCUUCCUCCAGGAUUUUCAGCGCUGUGGAGCUCUCCUUUCUGCAGUGUGGAGGAGCGCUGGGCAGGAGGCGGCGCCGAGGCUCCACAUAAAGGGCUCAAUGUCUGGUUCAGUGGUUAAAAGCUGUUCACAGGGAUGACUGGACCCCACUAAGCAUUCUUUCGUCUGUAGUGAACGUUUCACCAAAAAAAGCUCUUGGAAAGGCUGAAUGGUCAGUAUUACAUGCUCAAGCCAUGGCCUUGCCCUCCAUCUUCCACCUGAUUGAGAAGGGGGGGCUGAAGUCCGUGGCUGCCCCAGGAGAAAGGACACCAGGAAGGCCACCGGGGACCUAAGGAACAUGCGAGUGAAGCAGAUGGGAAAGGAGCUGCAGGUUCAUCGUUGUCCUUGAGGGAAAACCUGAGGGCCUGGCAGGGCUCCCGCAAGUUAAAGCGAGCCACUGUGCAGGGUGAACUUGCACCCAGGGCUGCCCAGGAAGCCGCCAGUCAGGAGCAGGUGCAGAGUCUCUGGAAGGAACUCCAGGAUACAGUGUGGCCUCCACAGCAUCAGGCAGCCAGGGAGAUGCAAACAUGUCUGCUAUGGAUGCUGACAAUGAGACCCCCCUCUUCCCAGCCAGGGUCUCUUAGGUAAGAGUGGCAUUUCCGUGGGUGACUUUAUCCCUCAGGAUCUGGGAUGUGCAGAUUUAUUGGCUGGCAACUUUCUUACACUUUCUUCUCAGAGCACACUCGAGAAAGGUCAUCUGUCCCCCACGAGGCUGUUGACCGAAAGAGGUUGAAGAGAGAUGUGGAGCCCAGCUGCAGAGGGACCAGCCUUGUGCCUGACUAGGGCUUGGCCCAGAACCCCCAAGUUCAUCAUUCACAAUGAUGCCUCAGAAAGCCUCCGAGAGCCCCUCCACCCUCCAACAGAUGUCACCUUAAAGCCAGACACAGAAGCUGUGCAGAGCAAGCACAGCAACACCGGCCCCACGUCUCUCAGAAAGGUCAUCCUGUCAGCACUGGGGGCCCAAGAACUCCUCAAGUCGCUGCAGUCCUACUGCUUCUGCUCCCGGGGGAACAGGAGCAUGGGUGCCACCUGUGGGAGCAGGUGGAGAAGAAUGGCGAGCUGAAGAGGGGCAGCUGCUGACAGCCAGGUGCACACGCUGCAGGAGGAGCUGGACGAGCUGAAGGGAGGGGCUCCCUGCCUUAGCAACCUGGUGCCCCCCGCCGAGCUCCAGCUGCAGAGCUCCAGCCAGCAGCA